rnacentral:rRNA from 1 species
UACAGAGGCCUCGAGCGUUACGCGGAAUCACUGGGCUUAAAGCGUGUGUAGGCGGCCUUCUAAGUACCUUGUGAAAUCCCACGGCUCAACCGUGGAACUGCUUGGUAUACUGGUUGUCUUGAGCCUUCUAGGGGCGAGUGGAACAAAUGGUGGAGCGGUGAAAUGCGUAGAUAUCAUUUGGAACGCCAAUGGUGAAAACAACUCGCUGGGGAAGUGCUGACGCUGAGACACGAAAGCCAGGGGAGCGAACGGG